rnacentral:ncRNA from 2 species
ACGAUCGAUGCGGGAGAGUUCGACGUCAGAAGACGAGCGAACACCGAAGGAGCAAUCCUCCCCGACAAUCUCUCAGGUACUCGUACCGCAUCGAACGG